GAAAGAGCAGUUAGAACCGUAGUGGGAAAGGACUGGUUUGCUGCGUGCGGAGCCUGGGUGCCAAAGGGGAAUAAUGUGGACAUUAUACAGUGGAGCGCAGGACUUGUUUUAUGCCCAGCAGGAGAACUACAGAAGGAGGUGGCACACGAGAUUCAACCAGGAGACUGGGUCUGGGUCCAAUCACUAAAGAAAAAAACUGGAAGCAGCCUCGGUGGGAGGGACCAUUCCAAGUACUCCUGGUGACUAUAUUGAUAACAUUGGGGUCCCACGAGGGGUGCCGGAUGAGUUCAAGGCAAGAAAUCAGAUACUAGCAGGAUUAGAGUCAAGCAUUUUCUGGUGGUCUACUCUCAAUAAGGAUGUAGACUGGAUUAAUUAUAUUUAUUACAAUCAACAGCGCUUUAUCAAUUAUUCCAGAGAUGCGAUUAAAGGUUUGGCAGAACAGACUGAAGCAACCAGCCUGAUGGCUUGGCAGAAUAGAAUUGCAUUGGAUAUGUUAUUGGCUGAAAAGGGAGGAGUAUGUGUGAUCUUCGGGAACACGUGUUGUACUUUCAUCCCAAAUAACACAGCUCCGGAUGGAUCUGUGACCAAAGCCUUAGCUGGUUUGACCACCCUGGCUCACGAGUUGGCAGAAAACUCUGGGGUGGAUACUUCUCUGACUAAUUGGUUUGAUAGUACGUUCGGAAAAUGGAAAAAUGUUAUGAUCACUGUGUUAUGGGCUACAUUCACCGGUGUGACUGUUUUAGUUUUAUGUGGUUGUUGUCUAAUUCCCUGUGUGCGAGGCCUUGUUUCCAGGACUCUGGAGAAAUCAAUGACACAACAGAUGGUGCGGUAUGGGCCGAUUCCAGGUUCUGACCCGUGGAGGACUGAAGGCAUGUCUACAGAGGAAGUGGACGAAUCUGGAUCUUUCAUUUGUGGGGAAUUUAUGUUUGAUGAGACUAGUGUUGAGAUGAAGGGGAAUUAGAUUGUAAUUUGUUUCAAUGAUUAGACUGUUUUUUUAAUGAAGGUUGUAACGAAAAUCCUGAAAGAAGAGUUAUGAUUCUGAUGUAGGUUUAAAAACAGUUGGAGUUAAGGUUAGAUUUGAUGAAUGAUGGGUGAAGAGUCGGAUAAACAUUUAUAAUAAUGUUGGUUAUGUGUCUAUUCAUAUGAUAAUCUGAUAAACCUUUAUAAUAAGGUUAGUUAUAAGUAGGUUAAUAUUUUAAAUUUUUUAUGUUUGAUAAAACUAGAUGUAGAUUUGAAUGUAUAAUAUUUAAUCAAAGGGAGGAUUGUUGGGGGAAAUUAUAGUUGAAAUGACUAAUUAUGUACACAUUCCAAUCAGAACUGACUAGUCCAAAUGCUAUAAUGUACUGUACAUAUAUUAAUUUUCUCUCUUGCUCCCAUUCCCAAUUGUAUAUAAUGUAGUUAGGAAUUUAGUAACAAUGACGGUCUGUUCCUUGUACAAAUGAAUGUACUAUCUCCAGGUGGCAGGAACGGACUAUCUCCAGACUGUCUAGAAUGCUGAUUUAUACUGACUGACCUUGACUUCAGGCGUGGAGAGAAGGCUCGAGAACUAUAGGGCCUCUCUACCGGUGAAAGAGAUAGAACAUUUAGAAAACGCUGACGUCAUUUUCAGUUUAUAACCUGUGGGAAAAUGUGUAUGUGGCAGUACUCUCUUGUAAUAAACGGUGUUACCUGA